rnacentral:rRNA from 1 species
UACGAAGGGGGCUAGCGUUGCUCGGAAUCACUGGGCGUAAAGGGUGCGUAGGCGGGUCUUUAAGCCAGGGGUGAAAUCCUGGAGCUCAACUCCAGAACUGCCUUUGAUACUGAAGAUCUUGAGUUCGGGAGAGGUGAGUGGAACUGCGAGUGUAGAGGUGAAAUUCGUAGAUAUUCGCAAGAACACCAGUGGCGAAGGCGGGUUGCUGGGCCGACACUGACGCUGAUGCGCGAAAGCCAGGGGAGCGAACGGG